CAAUGAGCUGACAGUUAAUAUAAAUAAAUCUAAGAUCAUGCAUUUUAGAAAUCCAGCUGUUUUACAAACUAAAUGUACUUUUUCUAUUGGUGGUAAUGCUUUGGAAUGUGUAAAAAGUUACCAAUAUUUAGGCUUAUUACUGACUGAAUUUUUAGAUUAUCAGUUAAUGGCUAAGGCAGUAGCGAAGUCAGCCAGUAGAGCAUUAGGAUUAUUAAUUGUAAAGAGUAAAACGCAUGGUGGUUUCCAGCACAAAAUUUUUUCAAAGCUGUAUGAUACAAUGGUAUGGUCAGUUAUUAGUUAUGGUGCAGGUAUUUGGGGAACCAGAGACUUUUCCUGCAUAAAUGCAGUCCAAAACAGGGCCAUGAGAUUUU
rnacentral:lncRNA from 1 species